rnacentral:rRNA from 1 species
UUACCGGAGUACUAUGAAUAUCUAAACAUUUAAAACUUAAAGAACUUGGCGGUGUUUUAGACCACUUAGGGGAACCUGUCUCGUAAUCGACAAUCCGCGUUAAACCUGACCUUUUCUUGUUAUCAGUUUGUAUACCGUUGUCGUCAGGUAACUUUUUAGAAAUUAGAAGUUAGCGAUAAAAGCAAUUUAAUGACUUAGGACGUCAAAUCAAGGUGCAGCUAACGAAAAGGGGAGGAUGGGUUACAAUUAUUUGAUUUAUAAUAACGGACGAACAACAUGAAUAUGUUUCAAAUUAUAAGGUGGACUUGAAAGUAAAUUAGAUUAUAUAGAUAGUUUGAAUAAGGCUCUGAAACGUGU